AUUGAACGCUGGCGGCAUGCCUUACACAUGCAAGUCGAACGGCAGCACGGACUUCGGUCUGGUGGCGAGUGGCGAACGGGUGAGUAAUAUAUCGGAACGUACCUUUCAGUGGGGGAUAACUAUCCGAAAGGAUAGCUAAUACCGCAUAUUCUGUGAGCAGGAAAGCAGGGGAUCUUCGGACCUUGCGCUGAUUGAGCGGCCGAUAUCAGAUUAGCUAGUUGGUGAGGUAAAGGCUCACCAAGGCUACGAUCUGUAGCGGGUCUGAGAGGAUGAUCCGCCACACUGGAACUGAGACACGGUCCAGACUCCUACGGGAGGCAGCAGUGGGGAAUUUUGGACAAUGGGGGCAACCCUGAUCCAGCCAUUCCGCAUGAGUGAAGAAGGCCUUCGGGUUGUAAAGCUCUUUCGCAAGGGAAGAAAACUUAGGCUCUAACAUAGCUUGAGGCUGACGGUACCUUGAUAAGAAGCACCGGCUAACUACGUGCCAGCCGCCGCGGUAAGAC
rnacentral:rRNA from 1 species